ACUAGCAGUAAGAGUUUGAUCAUGGCUCAGAACGAACGCUGGCGGCAUGCCUAACACAUGCAAGUCGAACGAGACCUUCGGGUCUAGUGGCGCACGGGUGCGUAACGCGUGGGAAUCUGGCCCUUAGGGUUCGGGAUAACAGUUGGAAACGACUGCUAAUACCGGAUGAUGACUUCGGUCCAAAGAUUUAUCGCCCAGGGAUGAGCCCGCGUCGGAUUAGCGUAGUUGGUGAGGUAAAGGCUCACCAAGGCGACGGAUCCGUAGCUGGUCUGAGAGGAUGAUCAGCCACACUGGGACUGAGACACGGCCCAGACUCCUACGGGAGGCAGCAGUGGGGAAUAUUGGACAAUGGGCGCAAGCCUGAUCCAGCCAUGCCGCGUGGGUGAAGAAGGCCCUAGGGUUGUAAACCCCUUUCAGCGGGGAAGAUAAUGACGGUACCCGCAGAAGAAGCCCCGGCUAACUCCGUGCCAGCAGCCGCGGUAAUAC
rnacentral:rRNA from 1 species